rnacentral:rRNA from 1 species
GCUUACGGCCACACCGGCCUGAGUACCGUCCGAUCUCGGAAGCUAAGCAGGGUCGGGCCUGGUUAGUACUUGGAUGGGAGACCGCCUGGGAAUACCAGGUGCUGUAAGCU